rnacentral:lncRNA from 1 species
AUCAACACGCAUAGAGUGUCGAGCUACCGUACCGAUUCCUGAGAUUUCUGCAAUGCGUCCGUUUCUCCUCCUUGGUUUCUGCCUCCUUGUUAUGGCUACUACAUCAGCGAAAACUGCUCAAGAACACGAUCUGCUGCAU